rnacentral:rRNA from 1 species
AGCCAUGCCGCGUGUGUGAAGAAGGCCCUAGGGUUGUAAAGCACUUUAAGCAGGAAAGAAAAGCGCCGGGUUAAUAACCCGAGCGUGUUGACGGUACCUGCAGAAUAAGCACCGGCUAACUUCGUGCCAGCAGCCGCGGUAAUACGAAGGGUGCAAGCGUUAAUCGGAAUUACUGGGCGUAAAGCGAGUGUAGGCGGUUUCGUGUGUCGGAUGUGAAAGCCCUGGGCUCAACCUGGGAAUUGCAUUCGAAACUGCGGAACUAGAAUAUGGUAGAGGAAGACGGAAUUCCACGUGUAGCGGUGAAAUGCGUAGAUAUGUGGAGGAACACCAAUGGCGAAGGCAGUCUUCUGGGCCAAUAUUGACGCUGAGGCUCGAAAGCGUGGGUAGCAAACAGGAUUAGAUACCCUGGUAGUCCACGCCGUAAACGAUGAGAACUAGACGUUGGUUGACAUAGUCGAUCAGUGUCGCAGCUAACGCGUUAAGUUCUCCGCCUGGGGAGUACGGUCGCAAGACUA